rnacentral:lncRNA from 1 species
AACUUCUCCAGGGAGGACUGCAUUCCUUAGGGUGGCUCCCACUUGGCCAGCUAAGAAGCUCCAUUGCUCAUGAAGGUGGCUUUUUUCCAUCUCCAGAAGGAAUUUCUGCCUCUUCUGCUUCAGUUAGGACUGUACCUUGCCGUGUGGGUUCUUUUUAUCCAGUUUUCACUUUUUUCUCCAGGGUAAUUUUUCCAAGAAUAGUUAUAACCUGGUUGUGUUUAUAGGAGGAGGUAUGUCAACUAUGUCUCCCAGUCCUGAAGAGGUGGCCUUAUGUAGAAGGAGUCUUGGGGAGCCCAGGAGCUCACAUCCCACUGGUCACCAGAGCCAGAUGCUCCAGCAUGGCAACUGACAGAUGAGUGGUGUAGGUCUGUACUUUGGAACCAAACGUGGGACCCCAAAGUGGAGCACACCAAAGUCAACCACUAGGCCACCUGAGUUGGCCUCAAAUUGCUCAUAUUUUUAACUAGCAAAAAUAUAUUUUGGUUUUAGGAUAAAUAUUUCUUUAUGUCGCAUUUUAGUUUCAGUUUUUAUAUCUUCCUUUAUAUUUUUAAAAAGCAAUUUCUUGAAGGUUAAUUCUUCUUCCUACUCUCUGGAUUUUCCUUUCAAGUUUCAUUGUUUUACUUAUUUUGGGCUGUAUUUCAUGAAAGAUGAUUUUACCAUAUAUCUGAUGAUUCUUCUCUGUUCAUAUAUAUGAGUUAACCACUCAAUGGAAGUUCUGAGGAGAGGGAAGAUUUUUUAAAAUAUAGCCAUAUAUGUUUCAAGUGGGGACACUAUUUGAUUGUGAGAAAUUUAAAAUAUUAGGGCCUCUGACUCUCUUCUCUUGAGCUGACCAGCUUCUAGAAAGAGAAAAUUUCAAUAUCUUCUCUAAAGGUUAUUAGCAUGGCUGCCAGUAUUACCAAACAAAUGGGAAUGAAUUGGGCCUCCAGUUCAAGAUGUGGAUGAUUACACACACUACUAUUGUCAAAUUGGUCAUCUGUCUGCAUCUGUCACUGGUACCCCCUCUGGUUCAAAGACUCUAAAGAGGAGCUUUGGGUUUCCAUAAGAUACUAGCAGUCAUCGAAAUCUGAAACUCUUCACGCAUUCACAAAUUUUAAAUAAUGAAAAUUAAACCACCCAAAUUUUAUGUCAACAUAUACAUAAACAUCGUAAAUUAACAAAAGUCACUUUUUGGGACACAGUGGAACUGAAGGUCAGUAAUAAUACAGAAAAGAGAAGAAUGCUGUAUGCUACAGAGUUUCUGGUUCAAUGUAGUUAUCAGAAUUCAAAGAUCCCAUAAUGACCCAUGUCCUAGUAUAAUCUCCUUCUUUUAGUCUGAUUAUUACUGGUUGUCACGUCAUGAUUAGGUUAUGUCAAAAGUGAAGGGAUUUGGCAAGUGUAUUUAAAGUUGACCUAAUUCAAAUAUAAUUCUACUUUUCAGUUGACUUUGAAUUAUACAUAUAUAAUUGUUUAGGUCUGUCUUAUAAAUAAAAAAUUUUCUAAUUAUAACAGUAGUUGUCCAGGAGAUAUUAUGUCUGAAUGUCAUGUAUUAACAAACUGGUUAUAACUAUAUCAAAUAGAUAAAGUAGAAUAAGUGUAGCCGCCCCUGAUGCAGGAAGGGUUAAUAAUCACUGGAAAAGGCUUGCCAACAAACUCUGACCCAGAGGUGAGAAGGCCGGUUAGCCAAUGACGGGUAAGACCUCCAGGGGGAGGCAACCUAAGCCAGGCAUUGGUCACCUGGGGGCACAGAUGGAGACAGGAUAUCAAUAUCAGGAGAAGGAGGAGCCAUUUCCUAGGAGGCCUUGUCUGCUCUGCGAUAAAAAUAUAUGAGCAUAGCAAAAACAUGAUAAUAUCAAAACAGAGGCCAAGGGAUGGCUCCUUGAGAAAUCACUAAGAAUUCUUGGCAUUCGCUAAUUACUUCAUCCAGAACACCUGUGUAUGUUUAACAGAUAUAAGCUAUGUAUAUAUUGAAACGCUGGGUACAAUAAAAGAGUGGCCAUCAGCCCUCUCUGCAUCUAUCCUGAUGUGUACAUUGGAUUGGGACACCAACAUAUGGUGACCCUGACAUGAUCCAAGAUCGGCGGUAUUAUUGGUGAGUAACGAUAUGGGGGAAUCUCAACCGCCAGUCGGCGGUCCGCCGUGAGAAUGAUGGGCCAAUAAUUGGCAACUCAGCAGAAAUUAUACUUUAAGACACUUCAGCAGCUGCUGAAGGCAAUUUCAGUUUCAGUUUCUCCCACCCAGUUACAGAGGAUAUUGCUGGCAAUAGCUCUAAUCAACCAUGACUUGGCGUCAGGAAAUUCAAAACGGGGCACACACCCCAGUGCCCCGAUAAAUCAAGUUUGGGGAGCUCUCAAUCAGCAGGCCAACUCUAUGUGAAUGAUUUAGUGGUGACCUCAUCAGCAAGUGCUGGAGUGGAUCUCAUGGCCUCAGAGACAGUCGUCAUAGAUUGUGCUGACGAAACCUUUCUUGUUCCUACCAAUGUAUGGGGACCUUUACAAUCAGGAUAUUUUGGGUUAUUAAAGGGACGGUCUAGUUCAGCUUUGAAGGGCUUAAACAUCAUUCCCGGGGUAAUUGAUGCUGACUAUCAAGGUGAAAUAAAAAUCGUGAUCCGUUCAUCUACUUAUUAUGUGAUAGAAGCUUUUACGAGGAUAGCUCAGUUGAUAUUAAUACCUUACUUGUCCCCUGCUCAUGCCUUGAUUUCAGUUUCCGUUUCUCCCACCAAGUUACAGAGGAUAUUGUAAUAUCUACACAUUGCCCCUGGUUCCCUGAGGAUGGUUCCUUGGACAUUGAGUUGUGGGAAAGGGCUGGCAAGGCACUAAAGUCUCACUUUAAGCAUGGCCUUUUAAAGGAUGUACAUAUGUUAACAACUUGGGGAACAGUAUGUACUGCACUGUUCCCUUUGUUGGAUCUAUCGGAUGAGGAAAAUCAGCCUCUUCACCCAAGCGCCCUUCAGGCAAAGCUGAGGAGGUGCCGCCACUGCCUCCUCCGCCUUGCUCGCCGCCAAGAGACUCUUUUAAAAGGGUCGUUAGUAAAUCUCAGACAAAUUUUAAACAAAAGUCCUCAGACGAUGACGAUUUACCAUUCCUCCCUCCUUUAGAGAGGCGUUUCACCUUCAAGAACCCUCCUGUCUUUCUUACUGCUCCUCCUUGUACUCCACCCGCCCUGUAUGUUGUUUCCAGACAGUAUAAUGUGGUUCAUAAUUGCCUUCAGGAAGGAUUAGAUCGUGGAGAUCCUGAUGUUUUUUCCUGUGCCUUCCCCAUAAUGGUCAAUCACGGGUGAAGAGAACAUGAAUCCCUUCCUUUUUGGGUGUUUAAGGAGCUGAAAAAGAGCAUUAGAGAGAAUGGAGUGCAGUUACCUUUCACUGUCGGGAGGAUAGAGGCACUGGGAGCCAGUUAUCAUAUGCUACCCUGUGAUUGGCUUUUGCUCGCAAAAACUCUUUUGUCGCAUGCUGAAUAUACCCUUUUAAGGUCUGAGUAUAAUGAGAUAUCUGUAUCCCGAUGUAUGGAUAAUCUAUCUUUUAAGCCCCCUCUCCCAAUUAGUGCUGACAUGUUAUGGGGGCUCGGCCAAUAUGCGACGCCUCAAGCACAGGCUGAGGCAAAUGGAAUGUUGCAUAGACAAUGUUCAGAGGUGGCAUUAGCAGCCUGGAAGAGAAUUCCCCCUUCAGGGGCAGACAGAGCCACCAAUUCGUUUAUGAAUGUCCGACAAGGGCUAAACGAGCCAUACAUAGAAUUUAUUGACCGUCUCCAUCAGGCAAUUGAGAGACAAAUAGCUCAUCCUGAAGCGGCUCAAAUUAUCCUAUUGAAAAUAGCUUUUGAAAAUGCUAAUGCUGAUUGCCAGUCUGCUAUGACCCACCUUAAAGGGCGAACUCACACCUUAGGGGAUAUGCUGUGAGCCUGUCAGGAAGUAGGAAUUCAUAGCCAUGUGGCCAAAGUAAUGGCAGCAGCAUUUUCACAGCUGCCCAGAGGUGCUUUUUGAUAAUGCCUGUUUUAAGUGCGGAAGACCUGGACACCAUGCAAAACAAUGCGAGUCUGGUCCAAAAGAUAUCCCUGGUAAAGGAGGGCCAGCUGAUAUUAAAAAGCCGCCUUCUAAACCAUGUCCUCGGUGCUGAAGGGGAUUCCAUUGGGCAAAUCAAUGUUGCUCUAAAAUUAAUGUACACGGUAAUCUAAUCAACCGUGACUUGGCAUUGGGAAACUCGAAACAGGGAACACUCCCUGGUGCCCUGAUAAACAAGUUUGGGGAGCUCCACUGCCAAGAGGUGGGGUCAGUGGCUUUGGCCACACUGGUGACGAUGCUUUAUAGCCUCGCCCACUUGGCCUCCCCAUCGGCCUAAAAAGCAAACCUCUGCAUCUGUACAAGGUUUAGGGGGACUUAUGACGCCUGAGGGAAGUGAUCACGUGCUCAAAGUCAGAGGACCUGAAAACAGAAUUGCCUUAAUUACACCCUACAUUCUGCCAACUCCAUACUCCCUAUGGGGGCGAAUUUUGCUUUCUCAAUGGAAACUAUCUCUAAACCUUAAGCCUUUUUCCUAGGGGCCACUGAUGUUAUUAACAUUCCUCCCAUACCUAUUCAAUGGAAAACUACCACGCCUGUAUGGAUAGAUCAUUGGCCCCUUCCAUAGGAAAAAUUACAGGCUUUAAAGAUGCUAGUACAGGAGCAACUAAAAUUAGGCCAUAUUGUACCCUCAAAUAGCUCAGUAUUUGUGAUAAAAAAGAAAUCUGAAAAAUGGAGAUUACUCCAGGGCUUAAGGGCAAUUAAUGCUAUCAUGCAACCUAUGGGGGCUUUACAGAAGGGAUUGCCAAACCCUUCUUUAAUACCUGAGAAUUGGCAAAUUGUUGUUAUUGACAUUAAAGACUGUUUCUUUUCUCUACCUUUGCGCACCACUGAUAGGGAAAAGUUCGCAUUCACUGUCCCAGUUUAUAACAAUCAAGAGGCCCCCCAGAAAUAUCAGUGGAAGGUCUUGCCUCAGGGCAUGAGGCAUAUGGCAUAUACCAUAUGCCAACAAUUAGUAGGAGAUGUGUUAUUAACUUUUCGAAGCAAAUAACCUACUACACAACUUUACCAUUGUAUGGAUGAUAUUUUAUUAGCAGCGCCAACUAAAAAUUUUUCAUUAACAGCAUACCAACAAUUAAUUGAAUUGCUAAAAGGCAAAGGCCUGCUUAUGGUGCAAGAUAAGGUACUGAUGCUGGGUCGGUGAGCCGAGGAGUCAAAAGAAAGAUUUCUUAGACUCUUAAGAUCUGGCAGUAGUGCUCUUUUAUUUAGGCAAUAGUGUAGAAUAGCAUGGGGACAGGACCCAUGGGCAGGCAGAGCUGCUGCAUGGGGACAGGACCCACGGGCAGGAGGAGGUGCUGCUGCUGUCGCCACUUGUGCUGCAAACAUGGGUGGAGAGUUAGGCAAAAUUUAAAGCAUAGGUAUGUGAGUUAUCUCUUUACAAGACAAAAACAGUUAAAAUGGCACGAGUGCCAGUAGGGUCCGGCGAUUGGGCAGUCCCACAACUUUUAGAUAAGAAUCAAACCAGAUUGAGUAAAUGGCAGAAGCCACCACUUAAAUAUUAUCCUCAGCCAAAGAGAAAGGAGGAUUUGGCGGGGGGGGGGCGGGUCAGUUGCAUGAGGUUGCCAGACAGUAAACAACUUAAGUUCUUGCCUUCCCCAUUAAGAGUUUCCAGAGAUAAGGCCAUCUCCCCUUCCUCCUGGUGCAGAGGGGAAGGCAUGGAGAUUUCCUUCCCAAAUGCAAAUGUCUCUCCAAGGGCAAGCAAACUCUGCUCCUUGGAGCCUGCUUCUCAUCUGCAGUUUUAAAAUUAACUGACCUAAAAUCCUCAUCAGUACAGUUUACCUCCCCCUGGAAAUUUCUAGGUUUAAUGAUUGAUAGACACCUGGUAAAGCCAUGCAUUCCCUCUAUUUCCAGACCCAAUACUUUAACAUUAGUUACAUUGCAACAGCCUUUAGGAAAUAUCAAUUGGAUAUGUCCUUUUCUUGGCAUCCUGACACAUUCUCUGAGUCACUUGUUUUCCUUGCUACAUGGUGACUCUUCCCCCUCAUCUAUGUGCACUCCUACCCCUGAGGCAAAACAAGAACUAAGCCUAGUAAACAAGGCUCUAACCUCCCAAUUUUUAAAUUGCUUUGAUCCAGAAAUUCCCUUAUGCCUUUAUGUGAUAAACACACCUAAGAGUCCUACUGGUAUCGUCUUUCUCUAUACACAUUUGAUGGAAUAGCAGAGGUUAUUCAAAGGGGACAUUUAAGGUGUUUACAAUUGCUACGCGCUGAACCUCAGACCAUUUUUUUUACCUUGCACAUCUGCUCAAUUUGAUCAUGUUAUGAUGAUCAGUUCACGAAUACAAAUGGCUUUGCAAUCUUAUAUGGGUGAGAUUUCUUUUAAAUCCCUGUCUCAUCCACUCUUUCGUUUUUGUACACAAACUCCACUUACCUUCUCCUCGGUUAUCUCUUCCCCAACUAUUUCUGAUGCCUUAACCAUGUUCACUGAUGGCUCUGGAAAAACCGGAAAAGCCAGUGUAGCUUGGCGUGCUAAUAAUGACUGGCAGAUCAAAGUCUCUCAUGGACAUUCAGCUACUCAAAUUGCAGAAUUUGCAGCUGUGUAUCUAGCCCUGUGCACCUUUCCUUCUGUUCCUUUGAAUAUUCUUACGGAUUCUGCUUAUAUAGCUAACGCUGUCCCUCUUUUGCCCUCCGUUUUAAACUUUCAUCAAACCACACAAGAUAUUUUCACUCAUUUUCUGGAAAUCAAGCAAUUAUUGUAUAUUUGCUUUCCUGGGGUCUCCUACAUGCAUUAAAACUGAUAAUGGCCCCAAGUUCUCAGCACAAAUUAUCCACCAAUUUUGUGCAAAUUGGAAUAUUAUCCAUAAAACUGGCAUCCCCUAUAAUACUAUGGGACAAGCUAUCAUUGAGAGAUGUCAUAGAACACUAAAGGCUGCUUUACAAAAAAAGAAAGGGGGAAAUGAGUAUUAUAAGAAUGAUCAGCAAGGUGUUCUCAAUCAUGACUUAUUUACUUUAAAUUUUUUGAAUCUACCAGAGGAUGGCACAUCAGCUGCACAAAGAUAUAUGGGUCAAACUCAGAACCAUAUGGCCCAACAAAGACCAGCAUUACACACAUCUGUUUUGACACAAUAUCUUGGCAAAGUGUGGGUUAAAACGUCCUUAUACAGAUAUCUGGGAGGGUCCUUUCAUGGUUCCAUGUGGGAAGAGAGGAGCUUUUUGUGUUUUGACAGAUAAAGGCAUUAAGUGAAUUCCAUCCAAAUGUUCAUGGCCUGCUGUGGAAUUACUGGAAAAUGGACAAACGGAGAAGUAAAUCAGUUUUUUUCUUUUUCCUCUUUUCUUCUGUAAUUCAUGUUGAGAUGAUUUCAGAGCAUGAGAAUCUCACAUAUUGGGCCUUUAUUCCUAAUCCUCCUCUCUUUACUCCGGUUACUUGGUGGCAUGCUGAUUCCCCUUUGUCCUCUAACGAUUCUGAUUGGCCAGGAGGAACCAGGGUACCCCGACAACAACAUACAGGCCUGCACCAAAAGGAAGAAGAACCUCUGGUGAUGUAUGCUGACAAUUUACCUUUUUGUAUGGUUUAUCAAAACAAAAGCACAACAUGUGUCACCUUUCAGGAACAAAUGUAUUUUUAUUACCAACCUAAGAAAGGACAACAGACAGCCAAUCUGACACACAUUACUGCUAUAUCAACAUCUUACGAAGACAAAAGUAAUGUCACAGAAGUUCCUUCCAUCCCAAUUUGCCAUCCAAAAACUGAUUGGCGUUACAAACAUUACUCAGUACAGUGGUCCCCUUGCUGUACAGCAUAUCCAAGGAGGGGCAACAUCUUUGGGGCCAACGUGCUGGAUUAGGGACCUCAUGGACAUCUUUUGAGUGACAAUCAUACUUGGGCCUCCAACAUAUCAAGUCAGAAACCUAUAACAUGGAGCAAACACAGCCUAUCUGGACCCCUUUUACAACUAUCUUACAAUGAGACAGUGUAAAGCCCCCUUCACAAAGGAACGUGGAGGAUCGGGUUGCCUUUUAUAUCACAACAAUUUUCCCAUGGCAAGUAUGGGAAUGAAACUGGCAAUUAUUUACUAACAUUGGUCAAAAAUGUUUCUGAUACCGUUAUGAUUUGUACCACCCAUCCUUAUGUGUUAUUAUGGGGAAACAGUGUCCCUGCUAUCCAAGAAUCUUCUGGUAUGUACGUGGUUAAUAUUUCUCCCCCAUAUUUGUAUUCUGAUUGUUUAACACAUUAUAAUGUAACCUCAUUGAAUGUGACCUAUGUAAUGGCGUUAAAAAGAAAAGCACAUAAUUGGUUACCUGUUUCUCUAAAUUGGACAUGGUCCAAAGAGAAUGUUCUACAUAUCCUCCUUGAGUCCGUGAGAAAAUUACUCCCUAAGCAGUUUUUGGCUACACUAAUCGCGUUCAUUGUGUCCACAGUGAUUAUCAUUGCAUCGUCCUCCAUGGCUACUACUGCCUUGUUUAACAGUGUUCAAAGAGCCCAUAAGGUAGAGUCUGUCUUGGUAAAUGUCACUCAAGAAUUAGAGACACAGGCGAAUAUUCAUAAAGGGCUAUUGUCAUGAUUGCAGGCAUUAGAGGCAGCAGCAGAGUGGCUGGGAGAGCAGCAAAAUGCAUUAAAUAUGCAUAUGAAACUAAAAUGUGAUUGGCAAUUUACCAUGCAAUGCGUUACCCCCCUACUGUAUAAUAGCGGGCUGACAUCUUGGCAAGAAAUUAAAAGAAAAAAAUUUACAGGGGGCAUUUAAUACCUCCCUGGCCAAUGACAUCACUGGGCUACAAGCUCAGUUAGAGAGGCAGUUACAAGAAGUAUAUAAGGUGUUCUCUCAACAAAUAUUUUCAAGACAUUGAAAAUGGGUUACACUGGCUAGAGCCCGCCAAUUGGUUCUCGGACCUCCAUGUAUGCAUAUUUGUUGAUGCUGGUAUGAUUUUGAUAUUAUCCAUGUUAAUAGUUUAUGUUUUAUGUCUGCUGUGCUCCCUGAAAAACCAACAAGGGCAACAAGAGCAAUCAUUGGUUAUGAUGGGCCUUCUGGCCUCAGCACAACAUGAUGCCUUCCUUGCUUUAAAAAACAAAAAAGGGGGAAAUGUAGCUGUCCCUGAUGCAGGAAGCGUUAAUAAUCACUGGAAAAUGCUUGCCAACAAACUCUGACCCAGAGGUGAGAAGGCCGGUUAGCCAAUGAUGGGUAAGACCUCCAGGGGGAGGCAACCUAAGCCAGGCAUCGGUCGCCCAGGGGCACAGAUGGUGACAUGAUAUCGAUAUUGGGAGCAGGAGGAGCAUUGCCUAGGAGGCCUUGCCUGCUCCGAGAUAAAAAUAUACAAGCACAGCAAAAACAUGAUAAUAUCAAAACCUUUGCUAAUUACUCCAUCCAGAACACCUGUGUAUGUUUAACAGCUGUAAGCUAUGUAUAUAUUGAAAGCUGGUUACAAUAAACUCAGAGUGGCCAUCAGCCCUCUCUGCAUCUAUCCUGACGUGUACAUUGGGUUGCGACACCAACAAUAAGCUUCUAGUAACCUAGUAAGCCAUUCUCACUGGACUUGGACACUUUUGAUCAGUUAAUUACACUUGAUUUAACAAACUAUGUAUAGACUUAAUGACACAUGUCCCAGAAUGCUAGUUUUCAAAACUUACUGGGCAUAACCACAGUCUUUCUUUUUCUCCUACAUCCUUUGCAUCAGCAAUUAAAGAUACUCUAGUGUCAGUUACUCAGGCAUUCACUUAUUCCUUUACUACUUCAUUCAAAACUAUUUCAUGAGAACUUAAUGCCCACCAGCCCUGGAGAUGAGGUAAACGAGAGUUUACCUUUAUAAAAUUCUUACUUUAAUGGGGUCUAAUUUCCUUUCUGAUUGGCAAAACCUCUGCCUCUGUUAGGGAUAAUAACCUCUAGCAGUUUCCCUCUUGCUGUGAUUUAACGUUUUAAAUUUAUUUCUUUUAUAUUAUAUGUCUUAAAAUGUGAAUUAGAUCAUGUCCAUCAAUACUUUUCUUUUAUUCCCCAUGUGAUAUUGAUCCCAUUAUCUCUCCUCUUUAAAUUAUAAUCAUAAUUAUUAUUACAAUAAUCAGAGGAAUUCAAUCUUAACCCCGUCUAGUGACAGUUUUUGAAGGAAAAAAGCACUACUGGGAAAAGACACUUCCUCCCAAUCUGUGACCCUGGAAGGUUUUAUAGCUCCCUUCUCUUCUCAUAUAAGCACCUUAAAAAGGAAGAGUAGCCUCAUGUUGUCUCCUAUAACUCUCCAGAACAUAGACAUCUGGCUUCUUCUCCUAACACUUUCCUAAAACUACUUUAAUAGAGGUUUUCCUUGUCCAUGGGUUUGUCACCUCUAAUUCCUUGGACAUUUUGCAAAUUUCUUUACUGACUCUGCCAUGGAUGUUCCUUCCUUUGGAAAUUUUCCUCAAUCACAUUUGCUGGCUCUGUACCAGCUUCUUACUCACCCCCUUUAUUUUCCUUCUUUCUUAUUUCUCAUGAAGUCUUUUGCUUCAGCUGACUGCAUCAAUAUUUAUCAUUUCUAUCCUUACUUCCUUGGCUUCAUUCCCUGGAAUAAUUCUGCUUUCCUAAUGAUUUUUACCAUAAUUUUUAAAGUAACUCAAAUAAAUAUCUGACAGAGGCUUUUUAUAGAAUUUCAGACUGUUUUAUAGGAAAAAGAGUCUCCAAGGGGAAUUUAACUUGAUAUGUUCAACUGAAAACUCAGUGUUUACAGCCUUUACAUGGACACCUUACCCCAAAUGUGCUACCUGUGCUUCCUUCAUCCAGCAGUUUUCACACCUGCAAUUAUCUUGCUUAUCUAUAUUUUUGGUCUAUGCUUGUGUCCUACAAAUUUCUGCAAUUGCAAGGACCUUAGCCAUCAUAUUUGCUGUUGUAAUUCUAGUCUCUGAAAUAGCAGCUGGCACGUAGUAGGUGAUUGCUGUAUUUGUUAAGCUGAUGAGUAUACCAGUAGAUGGACCCAGCAGGCACAGUUCCCCUUGGCAACACCUACCAUGAAAAUGAAGACGGCUGAUUGCUCUGAUAGAUGAGAAUCAAUCAAGUGAGUAUGAAACUCCUCUUGGCAGAAUGUUCUGGAACAAAACACAACUUAAUGCAACUUAUUUCCUCAUGCCUCAUUUUUCUUCUGCAACUGCGUAUGUCUUCUACAGUAUGAGAACUUUGAUACUCUUCAUAACAAAGGGAAAAGCUAUAAACAUUGGCUGCCAAAGAGAAAACUAUAGUUAUGAUAACAAACUUGUGGUAGACCCGGGGAGUCUUGCUAUUUUCCUCAGUGUUUGGAGUAAACAAACAGGAAGGAUGGGUAGAGUAGAAAAGGAAGGGCUUAGAAUCAUCAAACGUUUGGAAGAAAAGAUCACAAAGCAGUUUAGGUUUUCAAACUGGAAAGCAAGCUGUGAGAAAAGUAAGAUUUAAAUGAGCCAAAGUACUGUGGAGAAUUUGAGGCCAGCAUAUACUAAGUCAGUUGAUUCAUGAGUUUUACAGUAAUCAGUACAAAAUAUGGACAAAAUAAAAGAAAUAAUAUGGCAUAUUCCUUGAUCUUUGGACCACAAAAAUCCCCAACAUAAUAAUUACAUGAAACAAUAAAAAUGGCUUGUUUUAAUCCAUUACUGUUACCCAGGAAGUACUAUAUAUAUAUAUACAUACACGCAUUAUUGUUUUUAACAACUUUCCUUAGUAACUUUUCUAUCUAAAAUACACUCACAUACACAUAAAUGAAUGAGAUACACAUGUAAACACAGAUAUAUACACAUAUGUGUGUACAUAUAUUAUGUGUAUAUAUUUUACCUGUGUGUGGAGUACGUAGUUGGAAUCAUAGAUAAAAUCUAUAUGCAAGAAUGUACAAAAUGUUUACAUAGAGAAUAUUUAAAAUAUUUCAUAUGAGAUUAAUUGGCAUUUGUGUAACAUUGGAGAGGCUUUCCUAUGGCUGGGAUAGGGGUAGAAUCAAUGAAGAUGUUCAGUGGGAAUGAGUCCCACACUCACUCACAAGGUCGAAAGUAAGACAAAGAUCAGAGGUGACAGGAAUUUCUAUCUCCAGAUCUGACUCCAUAACUAUUUAGACAGCCAGUAGUUAAGUCCUGCUUAAUUCUUUUUCCUUUUGGAAAUCUUCUGCAGUAAAGACUUUGGCCUCUCAGGAAACCUAAAAGUUUCAAGCUCUAAAUUUUCUAUAAAGAUUAUGGGAACUUUAUUCAUCUUAACAGACAUAUUUUCUGAUAGAUUUGAUGAUAUAAUUGGUGAUAUCAGCCCCUAGGCAGCAAACAUUGCUUCUAGAAGUUUAAAAAUAUCUCAGGUAUUUCAAUAGUUUUUGACUCUAAAAAUGCUAUAGUACAUAGAUAAUAUAUUAUAUCUCUGGUAUUAAAGUUUUUGGUGGAUGGAGUGAUCAGAAAAAAAUAAUUAAAAGCUCUUUAAGGGAAGUGAUGAUUAAAAAUAGAUUGAGAAACAGAGUUAGACAAUUCAGAAACAGAGGAAAGUGUAAAAUAUUGUACAUGACAAGGUUUUGUUAAUUUCCACUGAUGGGCUUCAGGACGUGCUACCCCAAAAUACUGCACUUGGGUAUAGUGAAUAUCUUAAGUUGAAAGAGUUUGAGAAAAUAGCAAAAGCAAGGUCACUGUGACCUCCCCUCCCUCACCUCUUUUCUCUGACAGUAGGAGAUAAAUCUCUCACAUAAUGUUACCCUCCUUGCACCAGGAAGAAGGGAGACAGUCUUAUUAACUUUAAAAAACAAGAAAACAGGCCAAAAAUGGUGUCCCUUAUGCUAAGCCCCAAGUCACUAAAGCUAGAUCUUACUUACCUACAGUUUCAGCUCUCCCAAAUGGAAUCUUAAACCACUCAAUCAGGAAGCACUACCAGAUCAGCUCCAGUUAGAUAAUCUGCCUGGAAGACCCCUGCUAUCCCCUAAAGGGAAGUAGUGUUGCGACAACCAACUCACUUUUUUGCCAGUGUAACUACCUUUUCCCUGCUCCCUUUUGCCUAUAAAAGUUUUUCAUUUUACACAGCUCCUCUGAGCUGCUUUUAUCCACUACAUUAGAUACUGCCCAAUUCAAGUUGGUUUUGCUCAAAUAAACUUUUAAAAAAUAUGCCUUAGCUUGUCUUUUAGCAUAUCAGAGACAGGGAAUUUAGGUUAUGAAGGCUGCAUAAACAAACCUUGUUACUUCUUCAUCAUUUUAUAAUCCCUAGCCUAAAUUCCUUUCUUUUGUCAAUUCUUCACAAAUAAUGUUUCUUUUUCUAAAAUAUAUAAAAUUUCCUACUCUGGUCACUUUUUUGGUUCUUCAUUCUCUUGUGAAUGCUCCCAUGUACAUUCAACUAAAUUUACAUGCUUUUCUCCUAUUAAUCUAUCUUUGUUAAUUUUCAGACCCAGCCAGCGAGCCUAAGAGGGUUGAGAAGAAUUUUUUCCUCCCCUACACAAGUUUACACAUAUUGAGAAAUAUUUAGAUGAUUCACUAGAGGGUAUUGAUGGUGGGAGGAGGAAAUAUUAUUCUGGUUAAAGCAAAACUACCACUUUCCUAGGUGGAAAAAUACUACAAUUAUUUUACAUUCUGGAUCCUGUAGGAUUUGCUAAGACUUGGCCUUGGAGGGGAGGGGAAGGGAAAGUUUUCCUAGACCCUUUUAGGAUCCCUUGCUACGUCUAAUAAUUAGACUGACAAAGACAGGUUAACAAGAGAAAAGCAUAUGAAAUUAUUUAAUAUAAGUUUUACAUGAUAUAGGACACUUCAUAAGGAAAUGAAGACCUAGAGAAACAGACCUGUGUGUUGUUAUGCUAGGCUCCUUGAAGAGUGGACAGUCACAGAAGAAUAUGACCAGUUAAAGAGUAUGAAUUAACUGUAGUAAACUGGGGAAAACCUAGCAAUGCCUGUUUGUUAGGAUUCUGCUUGGGGUCCCUUUGUCUUUGGAUAUAAGGAUGUUCCUCUCCUCCAGGUAUGGGGGAGCACCUCUCACAUGAGGGCUUUAUGAGCUGUUUCGGGGGAGAUGGUGGGUGGAAAGUCAGAAUGGCCUUCCUGCUUCUGCUGUUCUUUCAAAUUGAUUAAGUUUAAGUUCUUUGAUAUGUCAUUGCCAUAUUUUGGGGUAGCAUUUCCUGAAUCCUAUCAGCCUGCUCAGGGCUUCAUAUAAGUACUACAGCCAAGUGACUAUACUGUUGCAUUCCCACUCUCAGGAACUGAAUAUUAAAAUCUCUGAGACAUAACUUUCUCACUUGUAAAAAGUAUGUAAUAUUUCUCACUAUGAUAUCUUUCUUGAGCAUUCAAUGAGUAAACACAAGUAAAACCCUAAGAGUGGCAGCCACAUAUCAAGUACCCCAAACAUCCUAUUAUUAAUGACAUAGAAAAAAUUUGUUUCAAUAGAAAGCUAUGCAUUAUGUAUGGCACAAGUUCUGGCUAUCAGACUCUAGACCCCUUUCCUUGGAUUUGAGCAAUUUUGCACUUGUUGUAAGUUGUAAGCUACUGAUAGAUAUGAAUAUUAUCCCAUGUUUAAUAGUCAAUUGACAUUCCUUCUCCCAGUGGAAAAUCAGUUUUGCUUCAUUUGCCAUUCAGCUAAAUAUCCCUCUACUCAGUAAAUUUAUAUUGGUUUGAUUUUUCCAUUAAGCUAGCUAUAGCAUCUACCUAAUUGCCUCAGGUUCUAUGGGUAAAACAAAUCCUUGAACAUGAGUCUGCUUUUAUAUUGUAUGAGUCAUAAUUUUACCUUUUUAUGAAAAUUAUCUGUUAACAAUAUGCAUGAUACAAGUGGUAUGUGCAGAAGAGAAACCCAUGGCUGUAGGAAAAGUGAAAAAAGAAAAGACUUGACUACAGCAGUAUAAAGAGUGAUUAACAAGAAGAAGAGAAAGGAAAGAUAAGACAAUAAAUAAAAUCUAGUGGCUAUUAAGGGAAGAGCAACACAGAGGAUUAAGAGAGGAAGAAAAAGCAGUAGUUAUCAACCAAUAAUGGGAACAGAAAAUCAUUCACCUAAUUGAGAGGACAAUUCUAUUCUAUUCUGUUCUGCCUCACAGUUUGACACAAUUGUAAUCUUAUUGUUUUUACAUGGUGUAGGAAAAAUUACUGUGAAACCAAAUGCACUGGAAAUUAAUGAGAUGACCUUAUCCAGGCUACUGCAAUAGAGAGAGCAUUCCUUAACAAGUGUCAAAUGACAAAAAUAAAAUGGUUUCAUAAUGAGUUUGAUGCCUUUUUUUAAAGGGAAAACAAUCCAUAGGUUAGGGGAGUACAGUGCUUCACAAGCAGUGAAGUGCUCUUCCUAGGGUUGUGUGGGAAACAGCAAAUUUCAUAAAGCAUUAGAAGCAGCACUGAAGAAGCAGGGCACCCUUGGCUGAGGUUGCAUAUCUGACCUUAUUUAGAAAGAUCAAGGAACAAUAAAAUCAUUAUGUAGCCCAGAGUUGGCUUGGCAUUUGGGGGUUGGCAGACUGGAUGUACUGUGUUUCUGGGCCAGCAGAGCAUUUACAGGAACAGAAAAGUUCGGUUUGCUGAUGUGGCACCCUGGGUAGGAGUGGCUCCAUCUUAGGUGUAGAAGUUUAUUUCAAAAAGAGGAAUAUCUUCUAGAAAAGAAAUGAGCCUGGGGAUUUACAGAGCCGCUAAACAAGAGAGUUAUGAAUCUGAGGAACAGGAGAGAGGGGACUCUUCUGAAUCAUGCGGGGAAGAGCUACUCUUCAAAGUUAGCUCUUGCCUGGCGCACAAAAGUGUGGUGGAGAUUUCUCACCUGUUGCUGUUUUCUGGGAGGCUAGGGCUCAGGUAAAAUCAACUUUUCUCUGACUUAGCCCCAUUGAGCUAAGUCUAUUACACAAUUCCACAGCAGCUAUCUUUAUUGGUGACCCCACAUCAUAAAAUGAUCAGAGGUGUUUAAAAUAAAAUAAUAGGCCCUCAAUGGAGUCACUUAUGCUAAGUCCCAUGUCACCAAAAUGAGACAACUUAGUCACAGUUUCAGCGUUCCCAGAAAUGAAACCUUACACCAAUCAGGAAUCACCUGAUCAGCACCAGUUAGGUAAUCUGCCUGAGAAACCACUGCCAACUCUUGUAAGGACAUCGACCUUGCAAUAACCAAUCUGCCUUUUCUUAGUAUGACUUCCUUGUUCCUUCUUCUUUCUGUCUAUAAAACUGUUUCAUUUCGUACAUCUCCCCAGAGCUUCUUUCAAUCUGCUAGGUUGGAUGUUGUGUGAUUCAUGAAUUAAUGAAUAAAGCCAAUAAGGUUGUUAAAGCUUAUUCUCUUGAAUUUUGUUCCUUAGCAGACUAAACGCAAUAAAAAUCACUCACCACUGUGCAAACUAACUACUUGUAUUCACCAGAGUUAUGGAAACCUUCUUUGUUCUCUCCAGCACAUUCUUCCAGAGGCAGAAAUGCUGGCAAACUGUGACCUCAGAGCCCACAGGGCUGCUCUGCUGAUUCACACACGAUGGCCAGCAAGUGCUUUCCACGAAGAUAAGUUUGGAGAAGUCCUGGGAGCACGACCCUAAUUCUUUAUUAUAUCUCCCUCUUACUUGGUUCAGUACCAAGGUGGUAUUGUGGAGUUUUAUAAAUCGUGGAAGUAAACCGACUGUCAUGCCAACAACUCUCACUCUGUCAUUGAAUAACAGACCAUCUGCAUCACAGUUUCUUAACAACAGCAGUUUUGAAUAUUCAG